rnacentral:lncRNA from 1 species
UUGGGGUAUCAGCGCAAUGCGGAAGCACAGGAUCGUGAUAAUUGAGAAUUAGAGAGAAGUAAAUAGGAUAGCAAGAAAAUGAACACACAAGAUUUACGUGGAAAACCCUCUCAAUGUGAGAGGUAAAAACCACGGGCGAUCAAGAGCAAAGUUCUACUAUGAAAAAGGGAGAGUACAAUAAGUCUUCUUAUCGAAAUGAGGACAAAACAAUAUUUUGCACUAAAACUACUCUCACAAAUGGAACAAGAAUUCUCACCAAGAUAAACCACUCAAAGAAACAAAUGGAAAUGUGAGUAUGUGACUCAAUGUUUUUC